rnacentral:rRNA from 1 species
AGGGAAUCUUCCGCAAUGGACGCAAGUCUGACGGAGCGACGCCGCGUGAGUGAAGAAGGCCUUCGGGUCGUAAAACUCUGUUGUUAGGGAAGAACAAGUACGAGAGUCACUGCUCGUACCUUGACGGUACCUAACGAGGAAGCCCCGGCUAACUACGUGCCAGCAGCCGCGGUAAUACGUAGGGGGCGAGCGUUGUCCGGAAUUAUUGGGCGUAAAGCGCGCGCAGGCGGUCCUCUAAGUCUGAUGUGAAAUCUUGCGGCUCAACCGCAAGCGGUCAUUGGAAACUGGGGGACUUGAGUGCAGGAGAGGAGAGCGGAAUUCCACGUGUAGCGGUGAAAUGCGUAGAGAUGUGGAGGAACACCAGUGGCGAAGGCGGCUCUCUGGCCUGUAACUGACGCUGAGGCGCGAAAGCGUGGGGAGCAAAC